GAGAUUGGAUGGGUGGGACUUCAGCUACAAACUUAUUUGAGAUGGCAGGUUCUGCCACAAUUUUGAUUUCUCAGAAGGUCAUUAACCCUCUCUGAGAUUUGUGAUAAUGAAGCCCUUUGUGGGAUUAGCAGGGCUAUUCCUCUUAUUUUCUCAAAUGAAGCUUCAAGAAUUUCCAAGUCAUUGAGUCUCCACUGAAGAGAGCAUCCUUUACAGUUACUGUAUCUUGUAGCCCAGACCAUUUACUAGUCGUAGUGGAGAGAGAUUUUUUCCAAAAUGGUACAAUUCUGCAUCCUAACCAGACAUACCUGGGAUCUGGCUGUCCUGUAACUACAGUUCUACCAUAUCACUUUUAUAUGUCGUAUUCAGCAUUUGAAUGUGGGAUAUACAGAGAGGUAGAAGGAAAUCGAAUUUGUUUCCACAGUGCUUUGCAUGUGUUUAACCCACGGAUUACUGUACCUCUGAUGUGCAUACUUGUUCACUACAGGCCUUUUAUCCCUUCUCCUGUGUCAAGAAACCCUCUUCCUCCAAUACCUGGAAAAAAUGGAUUGGACACCACAAGUGUACCUGUAGUCACUGGCCUAUUCAUCUCAAAGGCUCAACAGGAUAUUGGUUGCAUGGAAGCAGGCAUUGGCCACCAGAACCCAGGAGUAAGAGCCUAGACUUGGCAAAAACACUAACCAUGGUUUUUAUUUCUGCAGACCUUAUAUUCCUGAUAUGGUUCUGUUCCUCAAGCCCUUUUUACUUACCUAAUAAUGAUCUAUCACUUUCAUGAGAGUCUUAAACUUUUAGCUCAUUCAUUCAUUCUACUAGUUGUGCUUUUGUCUGUCCAUUUGCUUAGAUGAAAUUCUCAGAAAGUUCUUAUCUCCAGUAGACUUAUAUGAACUGAUAACUAUGUAAAUAUAAAAAUGAAUCUCAAUAAUAAAAAUAUUAUAUUUUAAGA